GUGACAAAAUUAUACAGAUGGUCAUGUUAAAUAUUACUCGGAUCUUCCUCAGACUCAGGUCCUCGGGUUGCAGCAGAGCCCUGGUUUUCACUAUCUGCCAAGAGGAUUUUUUUGCUCCCUUCACAUUUCACUGAUGCCGUUUCAUGCUUUCCUCUCUAUUUACAGACAAAAUACAGCAUUCCUAUUAAUAUUGCACUUACUGAGGUAAAACGUAGCGUGGAUCCAGUAAGAAAAAGUAGAUCCUUUAUGAAUAGAGUCCCAGCUUAGUUAGGAAAGCACAUGUUUAUCUGAUGAAAAGAUAGACCCUGUUUCUUCAAAGUUUGCAGUUGCUGCCUGGAUUGAAGCUCCUUAUCUCUGAAAGCAGAUCUGACAGCUCUCCCCCGUUCAGAGGCUUGAAGUUAACUGUGAUCAACAGAUGAGAACUAGUCCGUCCCUGACUUUGUUUCACACAUAACUACGGCACUCAGUCAGGAAGCACUUUGCCAGACAUAAUACAGAGCAAUGUGUGCGUCUUUCUCUUGGUCCUAAUGCCCUCACUGUUCGUGUUCUAUCAAAUCAAAACUCUGCAAAAGCUGUAAGAGGUGAAAUAUAAGAAGCAAAAUGCUGUAUUAAAACAGAAAUCAAGGCAUACCAGGAA